GGGGGUGACAGCGUACCUUUUGUAGAAUGGACCGGCGAGUGACGAUUCUAAGCAAGGUUAAGCUGAAGAGGCGGAGCCGCAGCGAAAGCGAGUCUGAAUAGGGCGAAUGAGUUUAGGGUUGUCGACCCGAAACCGUGUGAUCUACCCAUGUCCAGGGUGAAGUUCAGGUAACACUGAAUGGAGGCCCGAACCCACGCAUGUUGAAAAAUGCGGGGAUGAGGUGUGGGUAGGGGUGAAAUGCCAAUCGAACACGGAGAUAGCUGGUUCUCCCCGAAAUAGCUUUAGGGCUAGCCUCGGAUGAGUGAGACUUGGAGGUAGAGCACUGAUUGAAUAAGGGGUCCCCACAGGAUUACCGAGUUCAGUCAAACUCCGAAUGCCAAGCCCUUACGUCCGGGAGUCAGACGGCGAGUGAUAAGAUCCGUCGUCGAAAGGGAAACAGCCCAGACCGCCGACUAAGGUCCCUAAGUUUGUGCUAAGUGGGAAAGGAUGUGACGUUGCCCAGACAACCAGGAUGUUGGCUCAGAAGCAGCCACCAUUUAAAGAGUGCGUAAUAGCUCACUGGUCGAGUGGCGUCGCGCCGAAAAUGUAACGGGGCUAAGCACAGCACCGAAGUCGCGGAUGACCGUCAGGUCAUGGUAGGGGAGCGUUCCAAGGGCAUUGAAGAUGUGCCGUGAGGCAUGUUGGAGCGUUUGGAAGUGAGAAUGCCGGUAUGAGUAACGAAAAGAGAAGUGAGAAUCUUCUCCGUCGAAAGCCUAAGGGUUCCUGAGGAAGGUUCGUCCGCUCAGGGUUAGUCGGGGCCUAAGCCGAGGCCGAAAGGCGUAGGCGAUGGACAACAGGUUGAUAUUCCUGUACCAGCGUUUCACGUUUGAGUGAUGGGGGGACGCAGGAAGGUAAGGCGAGCGCACGGAUGGAAGCGUGCGUUCAAGCCGUGAGGCUUGCAGCGAGGCAAAUCCCGCUGCUUGUGGCCAAGCGGUGAUGAGGAGGGAACUUAAGUACCGAAGCGCCUGAUCCUACACUGCCAAGAAAAGCCUCUAGCGAGUGAAACGGUGCCCGUACCCAAACCGACACAGGUGGGCAAGAAGAGAAUUCUAAGACGCUCGGGAGAACUCUCGUUAAGGAACUCGGCAAAAUCACCCCGUAACUUAGGGAGAAGGGGUGCUCGAAGGACCUUCGGGUCCGGAGAGCCGCAGUGAAAAGAUCCAAGCGACUGUUUACCAAAAACACAGGUUUCUGCUAAACCGUAAGGUGAUGUAUAGGGGCUGACACCUGCCCGGUGCUGGAAGGUUAAAAGGAGAGGUUAUCCCUUCGGGGAGAAGCUUUGAAUUGAAGCCCCAGUAAACGGCGGCCGUAACUAUAACGGUCCUAAGGUAGCGAAAUUCCUUGUCGGGUAAGUUCCGACCCGCACGAAAGGUGUAACGAUUUGGAUACUGUCUCAACGAGAGACCCGGUGAAAUUAUAGUACCUGUGAAGAUGCAGGUUACCCGCGACAGGACGGAAAGACCCCAUGGAGCUUUACUGCAGCUUGAUAUUGGAUGUGGGUAUCGUUUGUACAGGAUAGGCAGGAGCCUUGGAAGCCGGACCGCUAGGUUCGGUGGAGGCAUCGGUGGGAUACUGCCCUGACGAUAUCGACAUUCUAACCCUGAACCGUGAUCCGGUUCGGAGACAGUGUCAGGCGGGCAGUUUGACUGGGGCGGUCGCCUCCUAAAAGGUAACGGAGGCGCCCAAAGGUUCCCUCAGAAUGGUUGGAAAUCAUUCGCAGAGUGUAAAGGCACAAGGGAGCUUGACUGCGAGACCUACAAGUCGAGCAGGGACGAAAGUCGGGCUUAGUGAUCCGGUGGCACCGCAUGGAAGGGCCAUCGCUCAACGGAUAAAAGCUACCCUGGGGAUAACAGGCUUAUCUCCCCCAAGAGUUCACAUCGACGGGGAGGUUUGGCACCUCGAUGUCGGCUCAUCGCAUCCUGGGGCUGAAGUAGGUCCCAAGGGUUGGGCUGUUCGCCCAUUAAAGCGGUACGCGAGCUGGGUUCAGAACGUCGUGAGACAGUUCGGUCCCUAUCCGUCGCGGGCGUAGGAAAUUUGAGAAGAGCUGUCCUUAGUACGAGAGGACCGGGAUGGACACACCGCUGGUGUACCAGUUGUUCCGCCAGGAGCAUACGCUGGGUAGCUAUGUGUGGACGGGAUAAGUGCUGAAAGCAUCUAAGCAUGAAGCCCCCUUCAAGAUGAGAUUUCCCAUGAUUUU
rnacentral:rRNA from 2 species